GCCGUAGCUCAGUUGGUAGAGCAAUGCACUCGUAACGCAUAGGUCGGAGGUUCAAGCCCUCUCGG
rnacentral:tRNA from 1 species